AGUGAACGCUGGCGGUAGGCCUAACACAUGCAAGUCGAACGGCAGCACAGUAAGAGCUUGCUCUUACGGGUGGCGAGUGGCGGACGGGUGAGGAAUACAUCGGAAUCUACUUUUUCGUGGGGGAUAACGUAGGGAAACUUACGCUAAUACCGCAUACGACCUACGGGUGAAAGCAGGGGAUCUUCGGACCUUGCGCGAUUGAAUGAGCCGAUGUCGGAUUAGCUAGUUGGCGGGGUAAAGGCCCACCAAGGCGACGAUCCGUAGCUGGUCUGAGAGGAUGAUCCGGCACACUGGAACUGGGACACGGUCCCGGCCCCUACGGGAGGCAGCAGUGGGGAAUAUUGGACAAUGGGCGCAAGCCUGAUCCAGCCAUACCGCGUGGGUGAAGAAGGCCUUCGGGUUGUAAAGCCCUUUUGUUGGGAAAGAAAAGCAGCAGGUUAAUACCCCGCUGUUCUGACGGUACCCAAAGAAUAAGCACCGGCUAACUUCGUG
rnacentral:rRNA from 1 species